rnacentral:SRP_RNA from 1 species
GCCGGGUGUGGUGGCUCACACCUGUAAUCCCAGCACUUUGGGAGGCCGAGGCGGGUGGAUCACCUGAGGUCGGGAGUUCGAGACCAGCCUGACCAACAUGGAGAAAUCCUGUCUCUA